rnacentral:rRNA from 1 species
GACGAACGCUGGCGGCGUGCCUAACACAUGCAAGUCGAGCGAAUGAAGUUCCUUCGGGAACGGAUUUAGCGGCGGACGGGUGAGUAACACGUGGGCAACCUGCCUCAUAGAGGGGAAUAGCCUUCCGAAAGGGAGAUUAAUACCGCAUAAGAUUGUAGUACCGCAUGGUACAGCAAUUAAAGGAGCAAUCCGCUAUGAGAUGGGCCCGCGGCGCAUUAGCUAGUUGGUGAGGUAACGGCUCACCAAGGCGACGAUGCGUAGCCGACCUGAGAGGGUGAUCGGCCACAUUGGGACUGAGACACGGCCAAGACUCCUACGGGAGGCAGCAGUGGGGAAUAUUGCACAAUGGGGGAAACCCUGAUGCAGCAACGCCGCGUGAGUGAUGACGGCCUUCGGGUUGUAAAGCUCUGUAUUCAGGGACGAUAAUGACGGUACCUGAGGAGGAAGCCACGGCUAACUACGUG